ACCUGGUUGAUCCUGCCAGUAGUCAUAUGCUUGUCUCAAAGAUUAAGCCAUGCAUGUCUAAGUAUGAACUAAUUCAGACUGUGAAACUGCGGAUGGCUCAUUAAAUCAGUUAUAGUUUUUUUGAUGGUACCAUACUACUCGGAUAACCGUAGUAAUUCUAGAGCUAAUACGUG
rnacentral:rRNA from 1 species